rnacentral:rRNA from 1 species
UACGGAGGGAGCUAGCGUUGUUCGGAAUUACUGGGCGUAAAGCGCACGUAGGCGGCUUUGUAAGUUAGAGGUGAAAGCCCGGGGCUCAACCCCGGAAUUGCCUUUAAGACUGCAUCGCUCGAAUCCGGGAGAGGUGAGUGGAAUUCCGAGUGUAGAGGUGAAAUUCGUAGAUAUUCGGAAGAACACCAGUGGCGAAGGCGGCUCACUGGACCGGUAUUGACGCUGAGGUGCGAAAGCGUGGGGAGCAAACAGG